AGAUUCCUUAACAUGUUCUGAACUCUUUGC
rnacentral:piRNA from 1 species